AGUGAACGCUGGCGGUAGGCCUAACACAUGCAAGUCGAACGAGUGGCGGACGGGUGAGGAAUACAUCGGAAUCUACUCUGUCGUGGGGGAUAACUACUGGAAACGGUAGCUAAUACCGCAUACCAUCGGAUGUGCCCAGAUGGGGUUAGCUUGUAGGGGAGGUAACGGCUCACCUAGGCGACGAUCCCUAGCUGGUCUGAGAGGAUGACCAGCCACACUGGAACUGAGACACGGUCCAGACUCCUACGGGAGGCAGCAGGGGGGAAUAUUGCACAAGGGGCGCAAGCCGGAUGCAGCCAUGCCGCGUGUAUGAAGAAGGCCUUCGGGUUGUAAAGUACUUUCAGCGGGGAGGCGUUACCCGCAGAAGAAGCACCGGCUAACUCCGUGCCAGCAGCGCGGUAAUUC
rnacentral:rRNA from 1 species